rnacentral:sRNA from 1 species
GCGGGGAAAAUGGCGGCGGCGGCGGCGGCGGCGGCUGCAGCUACGAACGGGACCGGAGGAAGCAGCGGGAUGGAGGUGGAUGCAGCAGUAGUCCCCAGCGUGAUGGCCUCCGGAGUGACUGGGAGUGUUUCCGUCGCUCUCCAUCCCCUUGUCAUUCUCAACAUCUCAGACCACUGGAUCCGCAUGCGCUCCCAGGAGGGGCGGCCUGUGCAGGUGAUUGGGGCUCUGAUUGGCAAGCAGGAGGGCCGAAAUAUCGAGGUGAUGAACUCCUUUGAGCUGCUGUCCCACACCGUGGAAGAGAAGAUUAUCAUUGACAAGGAAUAUUAUUACACCAAGGAGGAGCAGUGUGAGAGUGGAAUAGAUGUGGGGAAGAGGAGUGGGAGUUAAAAAAAAAUGUACAGGGUGGGGAAGAUGGAGAGGGUUGGAAAGAAACAGGAGAGGAGACCAAGAACAGAGGAGAAAAAGUGAAGAGAGUAGCUGGAGAGAUCUCAGAAAAAGAACACGUUCAGAGUUCUUUCUCAAAAACAAAGUAAAGGAUGAGAGAAGACAGGAUAGAAGGGAGUAGUUAUUCUAAAUUGAGCCAGGAUUUGAGGAGGGAGGAGAGAAGCUGGUGAAAAUACACCGGGAGCUUCACAUUGAGGAAGGAUGGUUUAAAGAAUUACUAUGUCAGGCCAGGCGCAGUGACUCGCCUAUAAUCCCAGCACUUUGGGAGGCGGAGGCGGGCAGAUCAUGAGGUCAGGAGUUCGAGACCAGCCUGGCAAAUAUAGUGAAACCCCAUCUCUACUAAAAAUACAAAAAUUAGUCUGGCAUGGUGAUGCGUGCCUGUAGUCCCAGCUAC